GGCACUUUGAGGACCCUGAGGAAAUGGGGUUCGGGGUGGGGGGGAACAGCGUGGCAGACAGAGUAGGUUGGGCUGCGAUGUUCUGUGGGAAUCAAGGAGAG